rnacentral:rRNA from 1 species
AACAGGAUUAGAUACCCUGGUAGUCCACGCCGUAAACGAUGUCGACUUGGAGGUUGUGCCCUUGAGGCGUGGCUUCCGGAGCUAACGCGUUAAGUCGACCGCCUGGGGAGUACGGCCGCAAGGUUAAAACUCAAAUGAAUUGACGGGGGCCCGCACAAGCGGUGGAGCAUGUGGUUUAAUUCGAUGCAACGCGAAGAACCUUACCUACUCUUGACAUCCAGAGAACUUUCCAGAGACGGAUUGGUGCCUUCGGGAACUCUGAGACAGGUGCUGCAUGGCUGUCGUCAGCUCGUGUUGUGAAAUGUUGGGUUAAGUCCCGCAACGAGCGCAACCCUUAUCCUUUGUUGCCAGCGAUUCGGUCGGGAACUCAAAGGAGACUGCCAGUGAUAAACUGGAGGAAGGUGGGGAUGACGUCAAGUCAUCAUGGCCCUUACGAGUAGGGCUACACACGUGCUACAAUGGCAUAUACAAAGAGAGGCGACCUCGCGAGAGCAAGCGGACCUCAUAAAGUAUGUCGUAGUCCGGAUUGGAGUCUGCAACUCGACUCCAUGAAGUCGGAAUCGCCAGUAAUCGUGGAUCAGAAUGCCACGGUGAAUACGUUCCCGGGCCUUGUACACACCGCCCGUCACACCAUGGGAGUGGGUUGCAAAAGAAGUAGGUAGCUUAACCUUCGGGAGGGCGCUUACCACUUUGUGAUUCAUGACUGGGGUGAAGUCGUAACAAGGUAACC